UACGUAGGGGGCAAGCGUUAUCCGGAUUUACUGGGUGUAAAGGGAGCGUAGGUGGUAUGAUAAGUCAGAUGUGAAAGCCCAGGGCUUAACCCUGGGACUGCAUUUGAAACUGUCAAACUAGAGUGCAGGAGAGGUAAGUGGAAUUCCUAGUGUAGCGGUGAAAUGCGUAGAUAUUAGGAGGAACACCAGUGGCGAAGGCGGCUUACUGGACUGUAACUGACACUGAGGCUCGAAAGCGUGGGGAGCAAACAGG
rnacentral:rRNA from 2 species